GACGAACGCUGGCGGCGUGCUUAACACAUGCAAGUCGAACGGAAAGGCCCUGCUUUUGUGGGGUGCUCGAGUGGCGAACGGGUGAGUAACACGUGAGUAACCUGCCCUUGACUUUGGGAUAACUUCAGGAAACUGGGGCUAAUACCGGAUAGGAGCUCCUGCUGCAUGGUGGGGGUUGGAAAGUUUCGGCGGUUGGGGAUGGACUCGCGGCUUAUCAGCUUGUUGGUGGGGUAGUGGCUUACCAAGGCUUUGACCGGUAGCCGGCCUGAGAGGGUGACCGGCCACAUUGGGACUGAGCUACGGCCCAGCCUCCUCCGGGAGGCAGCAGUGGGGAAUAUUGCACAAUGGGCGGAAGCCUGAUGCAGCCACGCCGCGUGCGGGAUGACGGCCUUCGGGUUGUAAACCGCUUUCGCCUGUGACGAAGCGUGAGUGACGGUAAUGGGUAAAGAAGCACCGGCUAACUACGUG
rnacentral:rRNA from 1 species